rnacentral:rRNA from 1 species
UACAGAGGUCUCAAGCGUUGUUCGGAUUCAUUGGGCGUAAAGGGUGCGUAGGUGGCGGGGUAAGCCAGGUGUGAAAUUUCGGAGCUUAACUCCGAAACUGCAUUUGAUACUGCCUUGCUUGAGGACUGGAGAGGAGACUGGAAUUCACGGUGUAGCAGUGAAAUGCGUAGAGAUCGUGAGGAAGACCAGUGGCGAAGGCGGGUCUCUGGACAGUUCCUGACACUGAGGCACGAAGGCCAGGGGAGCAAACGGG